AAAAACUUAGUUAAAAUUAUAACAUUAGUUUGUCAUACUAAAAUUAUUAAUAUUUAUAAUAGUUUUUA
rnacentral:tRNA from 1 species